rnacentral:rRNA from 1 species
AGUGAACGCUGGCGGUAGGCCUAACACAUGCAAGUCGAACGGCAGCACGGUAAGUGCUUGCUCUUACGGGUGGCGAGUGGCGGACGGGUGAGGUAUACAUCGGAAUCUACUUUUUCGUGGGGGAUAACGUAGGGAAACUUACGCUAAUACCGCAUACGACCUUCGGGUGAAAGCAGGGGAUCUUCGGACCUUGCGCGAUUGAAUGAGCCGAUGUUGGAUUAGCUAGUUGGCGGGGUAAAGGCCAACCCAGGCGACGAUCCGUAGCUGGUCUGAGAGGAUGAUCAGCCACACUGGAACUGAGACACGGUCCAGACUCCUGCGGGAGGCAGCAGUGGGGAAUAUUGGACAAUAGGCGCAAGCCUGAUCCAGCCAUACCGCGUGGGUGAAGAAGGCCUUGGGGUUGUAAAGCCCUUUUGUUGGGAAAGAAAAGCAGCAGGUUAAUACCCCGCUGUUCUGACGGUACCCAAAGAAUAAGCACCGGCUAACUUCGUG